rnacentral:rRNA from 1 species
GAGAACGCUGGGGCGGGGGGCGGGGUAAGACAGAGGGUGCGAGGGGUGUGCGGAAUGACGGGGCGGAAAGGGGGCGUAGGGGGCGCUCCAAGUCCGUGGUGAAAGCUCGAUGCUUAACAUCGAGUCGGCCACGGAGACUGGAGGGCUCGAGCACGGUAGGGGCAGAUGGAAUUCCGGGUGUAGCGGUGGAAUGCGUAGAGAUCCGGAAGAACACCGGUGGCGAAGGCGGUCUGCUGGGCAGUAGCUGACACUGAGGCGCGACAGCGUGGGGAGCAAACAGGAUUAGAUACCCCAGUAGUC